AUUCAAGUCGAACGCGAAAGCCCCGCAAGGGGUAAGUAGAGUGGCAAACGGGUGAGUAACACGUGGGUGACCUGCCUUCGAGUGGGGGAUAACGUCCCGAAAGGGACGCUAAUACCGCAUAAUAUCCUGCCUUUUAAGAGGUGGACAUCAAAGCUGGGGACCGCAAGGCCUGGCGCUUGAAGAGGGGCCCGCGCCUGAUUAGCUAGUUGGUGGGGUAAUGGCUCACCAAGGCAUCGAUCAGUAUCCGGCCUGAGAGGGCGGACGGACACACUGGGACUGAGACACGGCCCAGACUCCUACGGGAGGCAGCAGUGGGGAAUUGUUCGCAAUGGGCGCAAGCCUGACGACGCAACGCCGCGUGGAGGAUGAAGACCUUCGGGUCGUAAACUCCUUUCGAUCGAGACGAAUGGUCUCUGGGUGAAUAUCCCGGGGAAGUGACGGUACCGAGAGAAGAAGCCCCGGCUAACUCCGUGCCAGCAGCCGCGGUAAUACGGGGGGGGCAAGCGUUGUUCGGAAUUACUGGGCGUAAAGGGCUCGUA
rnacentral:rRNA from 1 species